GACGAACGCUGGCGGCGUGCCUAAUACAUGCAAGUUGAGCGAUGAAGCUUGGUGCUUGCACCAAUUUGAAGAGCAGCGAACGGGUGAGUAACGCGUGGGUAAUCUGCCUUUGAGCGGGGGACAACUUUUGGAAACGAAUGCUAAUACCGCAUAACAACUUUAAACAUAAGUUUUAAGUUUGAAAGAUGCAAUUGCAUCACUCAAAGAUGAUCUCGCGUUGUAAUAGCUAGUUGGUGAGGUAAAGGCCCACCAAGGCGAUGAUACAUAGCCGACCUUAGAGGGGGAUCGGCCACAUUGGGACUGGGACACGGCCCAAACUCCUACGGGAGGGAGCAGUAGGGAAUCUUCGGCAAUUGACGAAAGUCUGACCGAGCAACGCCGCGUGAGUGAAGAAGGUUUUCGGAUCGUAAAACUCUGUUGGUAGAGAAGAACGUUAGGUAGAGUUGAAAGCGCAUCAAGUGACGGUAACUACCCAGAAAGGGACGGCUAACUACGUG
rnacentral:rRNA from 1 species